UCUGAUGGGCUGACCUAGGGUCGCUGGAGGUCUGAGGGGCUGACCUAAGGUCUUUUGGAGGGUCAGAGCGGCUGACCUCGGUCGGUUGGAGGUUUCUGAGGGGCUGACCUAGGUCUGUUGGAGGUCUGAGGGGCUGAACCUGGGUCUGUUGGAGGUCUGAGGGGCUGACCUAGACUGUUGGUCGAGGGGCCUGACCUAUGUUCUGUUGGAGGUCUGAGGUAUGAGGGGCGGAUCUAGGUCUGAGGGGCGUGACCUGUAGGUCUCUGGAGGUAUCUGAGGGGCUGACCUAGGUCUCUUGGAGGUAACUGAGGGGCUGACCUAGGUCUGUUGGAGGUGUCAGAGCGGCUGACCUCGGUCUGUUGGAGGUUGCUGAGGGGCUGACCGAGGUUCUGUUGGAGGCUGAGGGGCUGACCUAGGUCUGUUGGAGUCUGAGGGGCUGACUAGUCGGUUUGGAGGUCUGAGGGGCUGACCUAGGACUGUGGAAAGUCUGAGGGGCUGACCUAGGUCUGUGGAGGUCGAGGUGUGAGGGGCUGAUAUCUAGGUCUGAGGGGCUGACCUAGGUCUGUUGGAGGUCUGAUUGGGCUGACCUAGGUCUCUUGGAGGUAUCUGAGGGGCUGACCAGGUCGCUUGAGGUAUCUGAGGGCUGACCUAGGUCUGUUUGAGGUCGAUGGGUUGACCU
rnacentral:lncRNA from 1 species